rnacentral:tRNA from 1 species
GACUCAUUAGCUCAGUUGGUAGAGCAUUUCACUUUUAAUGAAGGGGUCGCUGGUUCGAAUCCAGCAUGGGUCACCA